GACGAACGCUGGCGGCGUGCUUAACACAUGCAAGUCGAACGGAAAGGCCCUGCUUUUGUGGGGUGCUCGAGUGGCGAACGGGUGAGUAACACGUGAGUAACCUGCCCUUGACUUUGGGAUAACUUCAGGAAACUGGGGCUAAUACCGGAUAGGAGCUCCUGCUGCAUGGUGGGGGUUGGAAAGUUUCGGCGGUUGGGGAUGGACUCGCGGCUUAUCAGCUUGUUGGUGGGGUAGUGGCUUACCAAGGCUUUGACGGGUAGCCGGCCUGAGAGGGUGACCGGCCACAUUGGGACUGAGAUACGGCCCAGACUCCUACGGGAGGCAGCAGUGGGGAAUAUUGCACAAUGGGCGGAAGCCUGAGGCAGCAACGCCGCGUGCGGGAUGACGGCCUUCGGGUGGUAAACCGCUUUCGCCUGUGACGAAGCGUGAGGGACGGUAAUGGGUAAAGAAGCACCGGCUAACUACGG
rnacentral:rRNA from 1 species